rnacentral:rRNA from 1 species
AUUGAACGCUGGCGGCAUGCCUUACACAUGCAAGUCGAACGGCAGCAUGGAGGAGCUUGCUCCUCUGAUGGCGAGUGGCGAACGGGUGAGUAAAGCAUCGGAACGUACCGUGUAGUGGGGAUAACGUAGCGAAAGUUACGCUAAUACCGCAUACGCACUGAGGUGGAAAAGCAGGGGAUCGCAAGACCUUGCGCUAUACGAGCGGCCGAUGUCAGAUUAGCUAGUUGGUAGGGUAAAGGCCUACCAAGGCGACGAUCUGUAGCGGGUCUGAGAGGAUGAUCCGCCACACUGGGACUGAGACACGGCCCAGACUCCUACGGGAGGCAGCAGUGGGGAAUUUUGGACAAUGGGGGAAACCCUGAUCCAGCCAUGCCGCGUGAGUGAAGAAGGCCUUCGGUUGUAAG